rnacentral:rRNA from 1 species
UACGGGGGGGGCGAGCGUUGUUCGGAAUUACUGGGCGUAAAGGGCGCGUAGGCGGUCUGCUAAGUUGGAUGUGAAAACUCUGGGCUUAACCCAGAGCCUGCAUUCAAAACUGACAGGCUAGAGUUCUGGAGGGGAUAGCGGAAUUCCUGGUGUAGCGGUGAAAUGCGUAGAUAUCGUCUGGAACGCCGAAGGUGAAAACAGCUCGCUGGGGUUGUGCUGACGCUGAGACACGAAAGCCAGGGGAGCGAACGGG